AUAUAUCUGUUCAAAAAAAGCUUUUUCAAUUGGUGUCUGGUACACUGAAUGCCAAUUAGUUGCUUGACUCUUAUAGGAAGCUCCGGUAUUGACUUGCCAGUGAACAUUUUGUUUUUCUUAAUUAGAGUCCUUCCCUUGCUCUAUAAAAUACCUUCCUGAAGCGUUUAAAACCAACAGCACUCAAUACAAUCACUUUUCAGCCAUUGUGUGAGCUGAAAUAGGCCAGUCAAGUGCUGUUGGAAAAGGAUCGCCCCACAUUUUCUGUUGGAUCCUCAUUUUGUCCUCUAAAUUGAUGCUUUUCAAAGUACUCCAAAUCUCGCCACAAAACGUGUCCCAUUUGUUUCCAUACUAGGUCUCCUACUUAAUCUUCUCCAGUGGCUCCAUGCCUGAACUGCUUAGAGGAGAGCAAACUACAUAGCCUGAGUGAGGCAAAACACGCCAUUCACAAUAAAACAAUCUGAAAGAACCAUUAUGAUUCUGGACCUAAUGAUGUUUCCUAUUUUUGAAAGACAAUCAUGUGGUGGUUACAUUCUCGAAGAACUCUGUGUUAAGAUACAGCACGCCUGCCUUGCCAGACGCCAUUCUACCCAAAAUGCAUGGUGAACAUUAGGGGAGGGCUGACUCUUCUUCAUUGUCAAGUGGGUCACUCUAUUCUAUAACUGAUUCGGCCCCAUUUUUGUUUGGUUAGGCCAGAUUUCCGAGUAUACUACCAAGUACAAAGCACACGAUUGUCAUUUUAAAGUGUCUAGCAGUCAAGACAAGGAACUACAUUUAUUUAGGAUCACGAGCAUCCCAACGAACGCUCAGUUUGCAAGCUCUGGAACUCUGCUCAAAACAAAUCCCUGAAGGGGCACAGAAAACCGGGGUCAACAACGAGCAAAAUGGUGAACUCACCCAACUGCGGCAUCCAGAACCACAGUAACUGGGACAUUCAGGUUUCUGAGGGCAUUUGCCAUUUUCUUCCUGCCAAUGACAUUCUGAGGGUUACAAAAAGUAACUCAAAUGAAAUUCCCGCGACAAACUGGCAAUUUAGAAGAGGAUCGAAGUGGUUGAGACUCAAGUGAUAUCAAUGGGCUCCAAGGGCAAGCCCUUCUCUAGCUCUGCUUAUCAUCUAGUGAAAUUGCACGUUGGAUGUUAAAUAUUUAUAAGGAUCACACGGAAGUGAAGCUUAUAAACAUUCUUGGCAAGAGCUAAGCAUUUAAUAAGUUCUUCCGUAUGAUCUGCAGUCAAAGGAAACUUGUAUUAACAUUUAUGGUUUCUCUGGGGUUUAGAAUAAAAUACCAACACAGGAUAUAAUAAAAACAGGAAAUUUGA